rnacentral:rRNA from 1 species
GUGGGGAAUAUUGCACAAUGGGGGAAACCCUGAUGCAGCGACGCCGCGUGAGUGAAGAAGUAUUUCGGUACGUAAAGCUCUAUCAGCAAGGAAGAAAAUGACGGUACUUGACUAAGAAGCCCCGGCUAACUACGUGCCAGCAGCCGCGGUAAUACGUAGGGGGCAAGCGUUAUCCGGAUUUACUGGGUGUAAAGGGAGCGUAGACGGUAUGGUAAGUCAGAUGUGAAAGCCCGGGGCUCAACCCCGGGACUGCAUUUGAAACUAUCAGACUAGAGUGCAGGAGAGGUAAGUGGAAUUCCUAGUGUAGCGGUGAAAUGCGUAGAUAUUAGGAGGAACACCAGUGGCGAAGGCGGCUUACUGGACUGUAACUGACGUUGAGGCUCGAAAGCGUGGGGAGCAAACAGGAUUAGAAACCCGGGUAGUCC